rnacentral:rRNA from 1 species
UGGGGAAUAUUGCACAAUGGGCGCAAGCCUGAUGCAGCCAUGCCGCGUGUGUGAAGAAGGCCUUCGGGUUGUAAAGCACUUUCAGCGAGGAGGAAGGGUAGUGUGUUAAUAGCACAUUGCAUUGACGUUACUCGCAGAAGAAGCACCGGCUAACUCCGUGCCAGCAGCCGCGGUAAUACGGAGGGUGCAAGCGUUAAUCGGAAUUACUGGGCGUAAAGCGCACGCAGGCGGUUUGUUAAGUCAGAUGUGAAAUCCCCGCGCUUAACGUGGGAACUGCAUUUGAAACUGGCAAGCUAGAGUCUUGUAGAGG